ACGUCCAGUUUCUAGCUUUACUAUCAAGUCUUCAGAUUCUUUAGAAAAGCGCCCAGAGGUAUAAAUAUGUUAUCGGCCGUCUCGUUCGUGCUACUGUUGACGCUCUGCGCCUCGGUGUCUAGUCAGACAUAUAAGGGGUACCCUUCAUGUUACAAGGUGUAUUGCCCACCUAUCUACUGUCCUAAUGGGCAAUACACACCGAUUGGAGAGUGCUGCCCUCGUUGCAACCCAGGGUAUGGGUAUCCAGACCCAUAUUUCCAAGGGUAAAAGGGAUAUAACAAGUCGUGAAAACAAGGCAGACAAGGGAAUGACAUGAACUAAGGACGAAAGAAUUGGAGCGCAUUAUAGAACGAAAUGUUAUUGUACUGAAAUUGGUUGCAUUUGCUGCCUACAAUAAAUAAAAAUAAUUCAACAU